CGCUACCGUACUGCAAUGAGUGAAGAUUGGUCGCCAAAUCGCCGUUUUUCUAAAGUCAGGUCAGACCAUGGAAGGGAGUUUUUACUGGGGACUUUUCAGAUUCUCCUGGUAUCCCAGCAAGUGCCAAUGCACACCAGCUCUUCCGUGGGUUUAGCUUUGUUGCCAUUUCAUCUGAGGACGAAAGCCAAGCUAUGCAAGCAGUUGGGGUACAUGCUAUUGUUCCACUUCAUAGGAACAGCAUCCAGUUCACAGAUGGCUAUGAGCUAAAGGAAGAUAUUGGCGUGGGUUCCUAUUCUAUUGAAAAAGGUGUAUU